GCGUUGGUGGUUUAGUGGUAAAAUUGGCCGUUGCCAGAUGAUCCAACCCAUUAUCUCAAUAUCGGCCAGCCCCGGGUUCGAUUCCCGGCCGACGCA